GGGGAUGUAGCUCAAAUGUUAGAGCACUUAUGUUGCAUCUUAAGAGGCAGGGGGAUCGAUACCUCUCGUCUCCA
rfam:Hordeum vulgare subsp. vulgare, WGS project CAJW01000000 data, contig: morex_contig_1593291